rnacentral:rRNA from 1 species
GGGGAAUAUUGGACAAUGGGCGCAAGCCUGAUCCAGCAAUGCCGCGUGUGUGAAGAAGGCCUGCGGGUUGUAAAGCACUUUCAGUGGGGAAGAACGGAUACGGGCCAAUACCCCGCAUCACUGACGUUACCCACAGAAGAAGCACCGGCUAACUCCGUGCCAGCAGCCGCGGUAAUACGGAGGGUGCAAGCGUUAAUCGGAAUCACUGGGCGUAAAGCGCACGUAGGCGGCCCGCGAAGUCAGAUGUGAAACCCCUGGGCUCAACCUGGGAAUGGCAUUUGAUACUGGCAAGCUCGAGUCCGGGAGAGGGGGGUGGAAUUCCAGGUGUAGCGGUGAAAUGCGUAGAUAUCUGGAGGAACACCGGUGGCGAAGGCGGCCCCCUGGCUCGUGACUGACGCUGGGGUGCGAAAGCGUGGGUAGCAAAC